GACACGAUGGCCGAGUGGUUAAGGCGAGAGAUUCGAACUGCACAUAUCUCUUGGGCUCUGCCCGCACAGGUUCAAAUCCUGUUCGUGUCG